GCCCUAGUAACGGCGAGUGAAGCGGCAACAGCUCAAAUUUGAAAUCUGGCUUCGGCCCGAGUUGUAAUUUGUAGAGGAAGCUUUUGGCGCGGCACCUUCUGAGUCCCCUGGAACGGGGCGCCAGAGAGGGUGAGAGCCCCGUAUAGUUGGAUGCCUAGCCUCUGUAAAGCUCCUUCGACGAGUCGAGUAGUUUGGGAAUGCUGCUCAAAAUGGGAGGUAAAUUUCUUCUAAAGCUAAAUACCGGCCAGAGACCGAUAGCGCACAAGUAGAGUGAUCGAAAGAUGAAAAGCACUUUGAAAAGAGGGUUAAAUAGUACGUGAAAUUGUUGAAAGGGAAGCGCUUGUGACCAGACUUGCGCCGGGCUGAUCAUCCGGUGUUCUCACCGGUGCACUCUGCCCGGCUCAGGCCAGCAUCGGUUCUCGCGGGGGGAUAAAGGUCCCGGGAAUGUAGCUCCUCCGGGAGUGUUAUAGCCCGGGGCGCAAUGCCCUCGCGGGGACCGAGGUUCGCGCUCUGCAAGGAUGCUGGCGUAAUGGUCAUCAGCGACC
rnacentral:rRNA from 1 species